rnacentral:rRNA from 1 species
CCUACGGGAGGCUGCAGUGGGGAAUAUUGGACAAUGGGGGGAACCCUGAUCCAGCCAUGCCGCGUGUGUGAAGAAGGCCCUCGGGUUGUAAAGCACUUUCAGUGAGGAAGAACGCCUGGUGGUUAAUACCCAUCAGGAAAGACAUCACUCACAGAAGAAGCACCGGCUAACUCCGUGCCAGCAGCCGCGGUAAUACGGAGGGUGCGAGCGUUAAUCGGAAUUACUGGGCGUAAAGCGCGCGUAGGUGGCUUGAUAAGCCGGUUGUGAAAGCCCCGGGCUCAACCUGGGAACGGCAUCCGGAACUGUCAAGCUAGAGUGCGGGAGAGGAAGGUAGAAUUCCCGGUGUAGCGGUGAAAUGCGUAGAGAUCGGGAGGAAUACCAGUGGCGAAGGCGGCCUUCUGGACUGACACUGACACUGAGGUGCGAAAGCGUGGGUAGCAAACAGGAUUAGAUACCCUGGUAGUC